AGAAUCAACGCUGGCGGCGUGCCUAACACAUGCAAGUCGAACGAGAAAGUGGAGCAAUCCAUGAGUAAAGUGGCGACCGGGUGAGUAACACGUGACCAAUCUACCCUUGAGUGGGGGAUAACCUCGGGAAACCGGGGCUAAUACCGCAUAAUAUCCUUGGAACGGAAGUACUGGGGAUCAAAGGAGCAAUUCGCUUAAGGAGGAGGUCGCGGCUGAUUAGCUAGUUGGCGGGGUAAUGGCCCACCAAGGCAAAGAUCGGUAGCCGGCCUGAGAGGGCGCACGGCCACACUGGAACUGAAACACGGUCCAGACUCCUACGGGAGGCAGCAGUGGGGAAUUUUGCGCAAUGGGGGAAACCCUGACGCAACAACGCCGCGUGGAGGAUGAAGUCCCUUGGGACGUAAACUCCUUUCGACCCGGACGAUAAUGACGGUACGGGUGGAAGAAGCCCGGCUAACUUCGUGCCAGCAGCCGC
rnacentral:rRNA from 1 species